CCUUGUUAUUGCGUAAUAUACAGUAACAUGUUACAAAGAACCUUGAAUAUCUCCAGCUAUACAUAUCGAAUCUAUUGAAACAAUACACAGGUAUUCAUGUUUGAUAUAGAAUACAAAUUAAUCCAUUAAAAUAAUGAGGGCUGGAAUUAAAAGGAGGAAUAAAUCAGUCUGAAGUGAAAUUCUGAAACCAACAUUUAUUUUUUUUCAUUUUAAAAUACAAAAUAUUUAGCAAUAUUAUAUGAUAGAGUAAACCAUUUGACAGCCUUUCAUGCUCUUUGUGUCGCUUCAACAUUUACCAGAAUGUUCUUCUAUCCUUUCAUAUAUUAUUUCCUGCAGUCACCAGGGUUUCACACUGCGUCCUGCUAUCAUUUAGUCUAUAUGUGAGUCUCAAUGGAUGAGCAUGUUGUUUGUUUAAUUGAAUUAUUUUCUCCUCCUCCUCCCCUCCUCCUCCUCCUCUCCUCCUCCUCCUCUCCUCCUUACCCCAUAAAGCCUUGAGCUAGCAAAUGUAGUAACCUGACAAAUUUGAAAAACAAAGUUGCACAGCAAAUGAAAGAGUGAAAACUGUAAAAGGUCUCUCUUGCCCCCAUCUUGCAAUGCACCCAACACACCUUCAAACCCCCAGGUCAAGCUCCCGUCUGGCGUCUCUAUACCCCCUCGAACCAAAACAUCUACAGUCAGGUCAAGCUCCCGCCUGGCGUCUCUAUACCCCCUCGAACCAAAACAUCUACAGUCAGGUCAAGCUCCCGUCUGGCGUCUCUAUACCCCCUCAAACCAAAACAUCUACAGUCAGGUCAAGCUCCCGCCUGGCGUCUCUAUACCCCCUCGAACCAAAACAUCUAGUCAGGUCAAGCUCUCGUCUGGCGUCUCUAUACCCCCUCGAACCAAAACAUCUACAGUCAGGUCAAGCUCUCGUCUGGCGUCUCUAUACCCCCUCGAACCAAAACAUCUAGUCAGGUCAAGCUCCCGUCUGGCGUCUCUAUACCCCCUCGAACCAAAACAUCUAGUCAGGUCAAGCUCUCGUCUGGCGUCUCUAUACCCCCUCGAACCAAAACAUCUACAGUCAGGUCAAGCUCUCGUCUGGCGUCUCUAUACCCCCUCGAACCAAAACAUCUAGUCAGGUCAAGCUCUCGUCUGGCAUCUCUAUACCCCCUCAACCAAAACAUCUAGUCAGGUCAAGCUCUCGUCUGGCGUCUCUAUACCCCCUCGAACCAAAACAUCUAGUCAGGUCAAGCUCUCGUCUGGCGUCU
ensembl:lncRNA